CCUACGGGGGGCAGCAGUGGGGAAUAUUGGGCAAUGGGCGCAAGCCUGACCCAGCAACGCCGCGUGAAGGAAGAAGGCUUUCGGGUUGUAAACUUCUUUUGUCAGGGAAGAGUAGAAGACGGUACCUGACGAAUAAGCCACGGCUAACUACGUGCCAGCAGCCGCGGUAAUACGUAGGUGGCAAGCGUUGUCCGGAUUUACUGGGUGUAAAGGGCGUGUAGCCGGGUUGUCAAGGCAGAUGUGAAAUCCUGCGGCUUAACCGCAGAACUGCAUUUGAAACUGUUGGUCUUGAGUACUGGAGAGGCAGGCGGAAUUCCUGGUGUAGCGGUGAAAUGCGUAGAUAUUAGGAGGAACACCAGUGGCGAAGGCGGUCUGCUAGACAGCAACUGACGGUGAGGCGCGAAAGCGUGGGGAGCAAACAGGAUUAGAUACCCCAGUAGUC
rnacentral:rRNA from 1 species